rnacentral:tRNA from 1 species
GCGGUAAUAGCUUAAAGAUAGAGCAUUGGUCUUGUAAGUCAAAAGUGAGAUUUAUUCUCUUACCGUU